rnacentral:rRNA from 1 species
GCGGCGGCUACACAUGCAGUCGAGCGGAUGAGGAGAGCUUGCUCUCUGAUUCAGCGGCGGACGGGUGAGUAAUGCCUAGGAAUCUGCCUGGUAGUGGGGGACAACGUCUCGAAAGGGACGCUAAUACCGCAUACGUCCUACGGGAGAAAGCAGGGGACCUUCGGGCCUUGCGCUAUCAGAUGAGCCUAGGUCGGAUUAGCUAGUUGGUGAGGUAAUGGCUCACCAAGGCGACGAUCCGUAACUGGUCUGAGAGGAUGAUCAG